CGUAGGGUGCGAGCGUUAAUCGGAAUUACUGGGCGUAAAGCGUGCGCAGGCGGUUUUGUAAGACAGGCGUGAAAUCCCGGGCUCAACCUGGGAACUGCGCUUGUGACUGCAAGGCUAGAGUACGGCAGAGGGGGUGGAAUUCCACGUGUAGCAGUGAAAUGCGUAGAGAUGUGGAGGAACACCAAUGGCGAAGGCAGCCCCCUGGGUCGAUACUGACGCUCAUGCACGAAAGCGUGGGUAGCAAACAGGAUUAGAUACCCUGGUAGUCCACGCCCUAAACGAUGUCAACUAGGUGUUGGGUGGGUAAAACCAUUUAGUACCGGAGCUAACGCGUGAAGUUGACCGCCUGGGGAGUACGGCCGCAAGGUUA
rnacentral:rRNA from 1 species